AUUGAACGCUGGCGGCAUGCCUUACACAUGCAAGUCGAACGGCAGCACGGGGGCGACCCUGGUGGCGAGUGGCGAACGGGUGAGUAAUAUAUCGGAACGUGCCCUGGAGUGGGGGAUAACGUAGCGAAAGUUACGCUAAUACCGCAUACGAUCUACGGAUGAAAGUGGGGGAUCGCAAGACCUCAUGCUCCUGGAGCGGCCGAUAUCUGAUUAGCUAGGUGGUGGGGUAAAAGCCUACCAAGGCGACGAGCAGUAGGUGGUUUGAGAGAACGACCAGCCACACUGGGACUGAGACACGGCCCAGACUCCUACGGGAGGCAGCAGUGGGGAAUUUUGGACAAUGGGGGCAACCCUGAUCCAGCAAUGCCGAGUGUGUGAAGAAGGCCUUCGGGUUGUAAAGCACUUUUGUCAGGAACGAAACGGACUGGGCUAAUACCUCGGUCUAAUGACGGUACCUGAAGAAUAAGCACCGGCUAACUACGUGCCAGCAGCCGCGGUAA
rnacentral:rRNA from 1 species